rnacentral:rRNA from 1 species
AUUAGAGUUUGAUCCUGGCUCAGAACGAACGCUGGCGGCAGGCUUAACACAUGCAAGUCGAACGCCCUCUUCGGAGGGAGUGGCAGACGGGUGAGUAACACGUGGGAACCUACCUAGGGGUACGGAAUAACUCGGGGAAACUCGUGCUAAUACCGUAUACGACCUUCGGGUGAAAGAUUUAUCGCCCCUAGAUGGGCCCGCGCUGGAUUAGCUAGUUGGUGGGGUAAAAGCCUACCAAGGCGACGAUCCAUAGCUGGUCUGAGAGGAUGAUCAGCCACACUGGGACUGAGACACGGCCCAGACUCCUACGGGAGGCAGCAGUGGGGAAUCUUGGACAAUGGGGGAAACCCUGAUCCAGCCAUGCCGCGUGAGUGAUGAAGGCCCUAGGGUUGUAAAGCUCUUUCGCCAGGGAAGAUAAUGACGGUACCUGGAUAAGAAGCCCCGGCUAACUCCGUGCCAGCAGCCGCGGUAAU